rnacentral:rRNA from 1 species
UGAGGAAUAUUGGACAAUGGUCGGAAGACUGAUCCAGCCAUGCCGCGUGCAGGAAGACGGCCUUAUGGGUUGUAAACUGCUUUUGCAGGGGAAGAAUAAGGACUACGAGUAGUUUGAUGACGGUACUCUGCGAAUAAGCAUCGGCUAACUCCGUGCCAGCAGCCGCGGUAAUACGGAGGAUGCGGGCGUUAUCCGGAAUCAUUGGGUUUAAAGGGUCCGUAGGCGGGCUAAUAAGUCAGAGGUGAAAGCGCUCAGCUCAACUGAGCAACUGCCUUUGAAACUGUUAGUCUUGAAUGGUUGUGAAGUAGUUGGAAUGUGUAGUGUAGCGGUGAAAUGCUUAGAUAUUACACAGAACACCGAUAGCGAAGGCAUAUUACUAACAAUUAAUUGACGCUGAUGGACGAAAGCGUGGGGAGCGAACAGGAUUAGAUACCCUGGUAGUCCACGCUGUAAACGAUGGAUACUAGCUGUUUGGUUGUUAAGACUGAGUGGCUAAGCGAAAGUGAUAAGUAUCCCACCUGGGGAGUACGCACGCAAGUGUG